CCUACGGGUGGCAGCAGUGAGGAAUAUCGGUCAAUGGACGAGAGUCUGAACCAGCCAAGUAGCGUGAAGGAUGACUGCCCUAUGGGUUGUAAACUUCUUUUAUAUGGGAAUAAAAUGUUCCACGUGUGGGAUUUUGUAUGUACCAUAUGAAUAAGGAUCGGCUAACUCCGUGCCAGCAGCCGCGGUAAUACGGAGGAUCCGAGCGUUAUCCGUAUUUAUUGGGUUUAAAGGGAGCGUAGGUGGAUUGUUAAGUCAGUUGUGAAAGUUUGCGGCUCAACCGUAAAAUUGCAGUUGAAACUGGCAGUCUUGAGUACAGGAGAGGUGGGCGGAAUUCGUGGUGUAGCGGUGAAAUGCUUAGAUAUCACGAAGAACUCCGAUUGCGAAGGCAGUUCACUGGACUGCAACUGACACUGAGGCUCGAAAGUGUGGGUAUCAAACAGGAUUAGAUACCCGAGUAGUC
rnacentral:rRNA from 1 species